CAGUGGCGUCUAGAAGGCACCAAAGUGCGCAGGCGUCAUCUGCUCCCUACAGGUUUUCAAACGCCAGUCUGUUCCCGCCGGUUUUUUUCUUCUUGUAUUUUGGGUAGGGUUGGGUUGGUUUCGCUAGAAACUGCGGAAUGUUUCAGAUCCUGUGGCUUAGAAGCAGCAACAGACAGAAUGGAAGCUGGUAUGAUUGACAGCUACUUGCAGCUGACUUUGGAUCAGCAGAGGACCAGCAGAGGGAGCACUUCUCUCCAGCGAUGUUCUGAGUCUACCAGGCGGUAGGAAAAUUCGCUUGGACUGAGGAAUAGUAGUCUUCAAAUGAAUGGGCUUUCUGAUCACAAAAUAUCAAACGACAAACUUAUCUAAUGUGUAAAGAAAUGAGUAAGAAAAUUAAAACACCAACACAAACCUAACAUUAAGAUAACAACAAAUUAACAUUUUGUUUAAAACAAAACUCGGACAUGGAAGGGGUUAAAAAUUAUUUUACAAUGUGUUGUUGGGAACGAGCAAAAGAAACUUAAUCUAAGUACUACCAUUUUGUUUUCAGAAAAUAAAUUCAAGAUCCCAGGC
rnacentral:lncRNA from 1 species